UCAGGUCAGGUAUUCCUCAGCUGGGGCCCCCGUACAAAGCAGAACAAAUGGGGGGGGAUAGCCAAUGAGGAAAUCACUGUUUUCGCAGGGCCUUCUGCAAACCAAGCAGUCUGGCCACACGGAGAGACCAGAUGAUAGAUCACCAAGAAAGGCAAUGUGGGGCGGGACGUGCUGUCCGAGCAACACCAGGACAAGCGCAGAGCAUCCCAGCCCUGGCUCCAGACUACAGCUCCCGGCAUGCCCUGCACCUGGUACUCGCCCGCGGCGUGCGGAGGGAAGGAUGCAGACAACGCGGCCGGCGAUGAGGAUGGAGGCCGGGGAGGCAGCGCCACCGGUGGGGGCGGGCGGCCGCCCCGGGGGCGGCUGGGGCAAGUGGGUGCGGCUGAACGUGGGGGGCACGGUGUUCCUGACCACCCGCCAGACGCUGUGUCGGGAGCAGAAGUCCUUCCUCAGCCGCCUGUGUCAGGGCGAAGAGCUUCAAUCGGACAGGGAUGAGACCGGGGCCUACCUCAUUGACCGUGACCCCACCUACUUCGGGCCCAUCCUGAAUUUCCUCAGGCAUGGAAAAUUGGUGCUGGACAAGGACAUGGCCGAGGAGGGGGUCCUGGAGGAAGCAGAGUUCUACAACAUUGGUCCUCUGAUUCGAAUCAUCAAAGACAGGAUGGAGGAGAAAGACUACACAGUGGCCCAGGUGCCACCUAAGCAUGUAUACCGAGUGCUGCAGUGCCAAGAGGAGGAGCUCACACAGAUGGUAUCCACUAUGUCCGACGGCUGGCGCUUCGAGCAGCUGGUGAACAUCGGCUCCUCCUACAACUAUGGGAGUGAGGACCAGGCCGAGUUCCUGUGUGUGGUGUCUAAGGAGCUCCACAGCUCCCCACACGGCCUGAGCUCCGAGUCCACUCGCAAGGCCAAGAUCUGGCUGGUGACUGCCCUGGGACAACCUUGGCUUCCUGCUCUGGACCCAUCCUUCCAAAGUAAGGCCUUUCCAGGAGCCGGCGGGCUCCUCUUCCAGCCGUCCCCUUAGCCGGCUCUCUAACAGCAGCCUGGCUGGGCUCUAAGCCUUCCCUCUGGGCUAGGGAAGACCCACCAACUGCUUUGGCUGCAGCCCUCCCUCUCCCAGAGGUCCCUUUCAUCCUGCCUGCCCCUCAGUCCUGAGGUCGGGGGUCCCUGCGGACAGCCGCCCGCAGCCCCGCCCCCUCGUCAGUGUCUCCACUCUCUCUUCCCUGGUCGGCGGCGGGUGCACAGAGCACGGACGAGCAGCUGGAGGAGCAGCGGCGGCAGGAGGUGGAGGAGGUGGAGGUGGCCCAGGUGCAGGUGGAGGCGGAUGCCCAGGAGAAAGCCCUGUCAUCUCAGGAUCCCGCUAACCUUUUCUCCCUCCCACCACCGCCUCCUCCUCCUCCGCUUCCUGCUGGAGGUCCUGCUUCAUCUUCAUCCACCUCCUCUUCCUCCUGGAUCUCAUCUGCACCCUGCCUCUUCCCUCUCUGCCCCUGCCCAGGUUUCCUCUCCGCCUGCUCCCGUCUCCACCCUGGGGCUGCCCUAGUCCCAGUCUCCCGCGCCCUCUCCCCAAGCCCCCUCGCCCUGCAUCCCCAAGCAUCCUGCCUGCCGCCUCCUUCGCCCCUUCCAGCCCCUCCUGCCUCCUGGCCUGGGGAGGAGGGGCGUGGCCGCAUCUGCUCUUUGUCCUCCAACCCAGCAGAGCACCUCUGAGGCUGGCCUUGGCCACAGGCCCCACUCUUCCCACUUGCCUCCUCACGUUUCCUCCUUGCAGGUCCCUGUCCGCACCCUCCCAGACCCAAGCCUGAGCUUGCAGUGAGAGCUCCUCGGCCCCGCGCCCGCCCCCAGAGCUGCCGCCCCUGGUUUGUAGCCUGGCAGAGCUGGAGGGAGGGGCGGAAGCAAGGAGGGUGCUCGUCUUUUGUCUUUGGACUCGAGCCGACUUUUUUUUUGGCUGAUUCUCUCCAAAGUCUCUCAACUUAUCUGGUCCUUGGGGUGAGGCCCUGAGAGCUGACAUGAGUCCAGAGGUGGAGACUCUCACACUCCAGCACUGAGGCCAGGCUGGGGAGGGGAGGACCAGCCCUGUGCCUCUGCCCCACCCCGCAUGCCUAGAAGAUCGUGCAGCACUGCAUGUGGGUUCUGUGUCCCCCUAGUUCUGCGGAGUGGGUGGACAGGCCAUAUGUGGUGUCCCUUGGCUGAGGAGUUGGCAAGAGCCUACCAAGGAUUGUAGUGUGGCAGAAAAAAACAAAGCCUGCUCUCUGACUGGCUGACUAUAGCCUUCAGUCAGCCUUAGCUCCCUGUGUGACCUUGGGCAAGUCACCGCCUCUCUCUGGGCCACGGUUGGAUUCUAAGAUGGGGGCGGACAGCUGUUUCCAGUGACCCCUUUUUGCCUGGGACAGCAGAGAUCUGCCUCUCCCAUUCCUGCCCUGCCACCAGGCUGCCACCACCAGCCCAAGACCUCAGCUUCUCCCCCCCUCGGUUCUGACUCCACCUUCUUUGGGCCUCAGCCCCACCCCUCCUCCAGAGCCAGCCUGGGACUCACUUGCCUUUCUCUCUCCCUCCCUCCCCCACUCUCCCCAACUUUCCUGUCCCGGCAUUACCCUGUCCUCACCACCCCCCCAACCCUGGAUCUCUGACCCCCUUUCCUCUUCCUCUGUCCCCCCCCCCUCUUAUUUUCUAGCUAUUACAAGCCAGAGGCACCCGGAUGUGAGCCCCCAGAUCACCUCCAGGGACUUGGGGUUCCGAUCUGAAAUCCUUUAUUUUUGUACCACGGGGUGGGCCCCUGGCCCGAGGAGGAAGACAAGCCCUCUACCUUGUCAGUGCUGCCUGCAUCUGCCGGGCUGAGACUCACUCCUGCCUUGGGGCCCAGGCCUGGGGCCCUCUGGGACCUUGGAAGGCCUGACAUGGGUCCUGGGGUCUCCAGGCAGAGACGCCAAGGCCAAACUGUGGCACUACCUACCCAUAUCUUCCAGGCCCUUUUGUCCCCUCACCUGGGCGCCCUUGCUGCAUGGCGGAUACACUCCCUCCCAGUCCCAUCAUAGCACCUCUUAGAGCCUCAGUCUCUAUGGCACCAUAGGGUCAUCCUCUCCUCCCACCUACCUCACAGGGUUGUUGUGAGAAUCAGGGAGGAUCAUGGGGUUCCUGGGAGCCCUGAGUGUGUUGGGGCUACAAUCAUUACCUUCUUAGGGGAAGGGCUCUAGCCCCGCCCCUGUAUGGGACACUAUGGCCUCAGAUACUGGUGGGGGACAAUGUGAGGACUUUGCCAGGCAGGAAGGAAGUUACAGGCUUAACAGCACCUUGGCCACCACUUCUCUGUGCCACCGUGUGUUUGGCAGCAGAGUACAGUGUCCAGGGACUUGGGAUGGGGAAGGGGACAGGUGUAACGGGUUGAGCUGUCCCGCCCGUGUCUUGACCACCCCGGGAUGGGCACAUGUCUGUCAGUUGUGUCCCACCCGCCAUGAAAUAAAGCUGAACAAACAGGCUUGGCCUGGCUGCCA